UACGUAGGGUGCGAGCGUUAAUCGGAAUUACUGGGCGUAAAGCGUGCGCAGGCGGUUCGUUGUGUCGGUGGUGAAAUCCCCGGGCUUAACCUGGGAAUGGCCAUGGAAACUGGCGAACUGGAGUACUGCAGGGGAGACUGGAAUUCCUGGUGUAGCGGUGGAAUGCGCAGAUAUCAGGAGGAACACCGGUGGCGAAGGCGGGUCUCUGGGCAGUAACUGACGCUGAGGAGCGAAAGCGUGGGGAGCGAACAGG
rnacentral:rRNA from 1 species